rnacentral:miRNA from 1 species
AUCAUCGAUCACGUGUGAUGA